UGCGUAGGUGGGUAGGUAAGUCAGUGGUGAAAUCUUCAAGCUUAACUUGGAAACUGCCAUUGAUACUAUUUAUCUUGAAUACUUUGGAGGUAAGCGGAAUAUGUCAUGUAGCGGUGAAAUGCUUAGAUAUGACAUAGAACACCAAUUGCGAAGGCAGCUUACUACACAGUUAUUGACACUGAGGCACGAAAGCGUGGGGAUCAAACA
rnacentral:rRNA from 1 species